rnacentral:lncRNA from 1 species
UCAGGGCUUUGUGAUGGCCACUCCAAUACCUUGACUUUGUUGUCCUUAAGCCAUUUUGCCACAACUUUGGAAGUAUGCUUGGGGUCAUUGUCCAUUUGGAAGACCCAUUUGCGACCAAGCUUUAACUUCCUGACCGAUGUCUUGAGAUGUUGCUUCAAUAUAUCCACAUAAUUUUCUUUCCUCCUGAUGCCAUCUAUUUUGUGAAGUGCACCAGUCUCUCCUGCAGCAAAGCACCCCCACAACAUGAUACUGCCACAUUCGUGCUUCCCGGUUGCGAUGAUGUUCUUCGGCUUGCAAGCCUCCCCCUUUUUUCUCCAAACACAACGAUGGUCAUUAUGGCCAAACUGUUCUAUUUUUGAUUCAUCAGACCAGAGGACAUUACUCCAAAAAGUACGAUCUUUGUCCCCAUGUGCAGUUGCAAACCGUAGUCUGGCUUUUUUAUGGCAGUUUUGGAGCUGAGCGGCCUUUCAGGUUAUGUUGAUAUAAGACUCGUUUUACUGUGGAUAUAAAUCUUUUUGUACCUGUUUCCUCCAGCAUCUUCACAAGGUCCUUUGCUGUUGUUGUGGGAUUGAUUUGCACUUUUCGCACCAAAGUACGUUCAUCUCUAGAAGACAGAACGCGUCUUCUUCCUGAGCGGUAUUGUCACGACUCCCGCCGAAGUCGACCCCUCUCCUUGUUCGGGCGGCGUUCGGCGGUCGACGUCACCGGCUUACUAGUUGCCACCGAUCGAUGUUUCACUGUUCGUUUGGUUUUGUCUUUAUUGUGUACACCUGUUUUGAGUUUCCCUAAUGAUGUUCAUUAUUUAAACCUCUGCAUUUCCUGUUUGUCUUGUCGGUGAUUGUUUGUUCGUUUCGUGUAGUUGGAGGUGUUUUCUCCAGACUAUGUAUUUUUAUGAGAAGAUGGAUUGAAUAAUUUUAGUAAACACGUUUUGUUUACCUUCAUCCCUGUGUCCUGCGCCUGACUCCUCCACUUCUCUAAGAAGAUCCGUUACAGGUAUGACGGUUGUGUAAUCCCAUGGUAUUUAUACUUGCGUACUAUUGUUUGUACAGAUGAACUUCGUACCUUCAGGUGUUUGGAAAUUGAGUUUGAAGGUAGGCCUUGAAAUACAUCCACAGGUACACCUCCAAUUGACUCAAAUGAUGUCAAUAAGCCUAUCAGAAGCUUCUAAAGCCAUGACAUCAUUUUCUGGAAUUUUCCAAGCUGCUUAAA